rnacentral:rRNA from 1 species
AGAACCACCCGUGGACCCGUGAAAAACACACACCGGAGGGCCCGGGCCCCGGGCACUCCUGGACGGGGGCUGCGUCCCGCGACUCGCCCGCCGAUGCGCGGGCGCAGCUUUCCCGGCCGCACGAACGAAACCCCGGCGCAAACCGCGCCAAGGAACAUCCAACGAACCAGCACUCCCCGGCCGCCCCAGAGAUGGCGCNCGGUCGGGGCGCGCGUCGUAUUCUAUAUGUCAAAACGACUCUCGGCAACGGAUAUCUCGGCUCUCGCAUCGAUGAAGAACGUAGCGAAAUGCGAUACUUGGUGUGAAUUGCAGAAUCCCGUGAACCAUCGAGUCUUUGAACGCAAGUUGCGCCCGAAGCCAUUAGGCCGAGGGCACGUCUGCCUGGGCGUCACACGACGUUGCCCCCCCCAUCCCCGGACACCGGAGGCGGGGGGGCGGAUGCUGGCCUCCCGCGGACCACGGUCCGCGGUUGGUCGAAACGCGAGUCCCCGGCGACGAGCGCCGCAACAACCGGUGGUUUCCGGACCCUCGUGCCCUGUUGCGCGCGCGGACGGCCGCCGCGGCCCCGACAGACCCCGAAGCGGUGCGGACGCACCGCCUCAAACGCGACCCCAGGUCAGGCGGGGCUACCCGCUGAGUUUAA